ensembl:lincRNA Gm33280 predicted gene, 33280
GUUGUAUUAGGUGCUGGAGAAAGCUUUCGCAUAGCUGAAAGGGAACUAAGAUGCCUGACACAUGAAGGCUCUCUGAACAAGAACUCCUCCAGGCAGAGUGGAGCCAAAUCGACCCAUAGAGGUAGCAGUCAGCAAAAUGAAGACUGCAGAGGACCUGGGGCUGGGGAGGAGAGAAGUGGCUACCAGGGUGAUCUGUAAUCAGCAAUAAAACCCAGAGGGUAGAACCCACUGUGAAGUGAGGAUCAGGCCAGGCCGACUCCAAGGCAUGCCUAUGUACUACUUGUGUGCAGUGUCCAUGGAUGCCAGAGAGGGUGUUUGAUUCCCUGGAACUGAAGUUGCAGACAGUGGUGAACCACCACAUGGGUGCUGGGAUUUGAACCCUACUCCUCUGGGAGGGUAGCCAGCACUCUAAACCACUGAGCCGGUUCUCCAGACCCCUAAUUUAUUAUUUUUGUAAUUGUCUGCAUUAAACUAAGUUCUAGUAGGGGGCAAUGGUGGGUACCUGGAAGGAGGGCCAGCUGGAUUCUCAGCAGGUGAAGAGCUUCCUGGACAAGACUGAAAGGCUGACUGACCCCUGAUGUCACCGUGGAAGAGAAGAACCACCUCAGACAGCUGCUCUCCACACAGGUUCCCUCGUGUGGGUGGCCCUGUGUGCCUGUGUUCAUACGCUCACCACAUGUGCACCCAAUAGUAACGGCAAAGAAGGGACAUCAGUUGGGAUAGCUUUAUCACCCACUGGACCACAAGUGGGUUUUUCUGACUCAGUUGUUAUUGAGUUGAUGCCCUUUGCAGGUGGUAGGGGCUGGAGAGUGGCUCAGUGAAGAGCACUUGCUGCAACUUCUACGGGACUCGAGUUCAGUUCCCAGCAUCUACACUGAGCAGUAGCUGAGCUAUUCCUUAUAGCUCGGGCUUCAGGGGAUCUGUUGCCCUCUUGUGGCUUUCACCGGUACUGCAACAAUCCACUACCAUAGCUCUGAGGAAUAGAAUUUGAUGUUGUCAUCCAGGCAAUUCAGGAUCCUGAAGACCCAGCUGCUGAGGAAACUGAGGCAAGAGGCCCACCUCGGGGACACACAGAGACUAAGUUGCCCAGCUUCGCUUGGACUGAGUGAGCCCCACCCCCUUCUGACAAUGCACAGUAGCCUACUGCCUACACGCACACUCAGCCCUCUCCAAACAGUGAACCUGGCUUCCUCAGAACCUCCUCAAACCGCUGCCUUCCAAGCACCGUGUGUACUCUCUGAAGAGCAGUACAGAUUUCUCACUCCUAAUGACAAUCACAUUAGACCCUUUCUAUUUAACUUUCCUCCCAGUGUACCCAGUAGGAAGAAGAGAAGUGCCGGUUUCUGGGGCAUACACACAGAGGCACAUUAUGUCUGUCGAGAGAAAUUGGAGGUAGACCUUUACCAUCUUCUGCCUAUGUAUAGUUGCCCGUAAAUAUGAUUAGAGUAAGAUGCACUGUGUGAAGGGGCACUCAGUAUGACGUACUCUACCAAUCAAACUACAAUGUAACUGCGACAAGCUCCUGUCUGCCCAACCUCCCUGCCUACUGUGGAUGCACAACCGGGAGCCAAAGCCUUAGCUUGAUCUUGUCAUUUUUGUUGCAGUGAUGAGAAAAAUGUUAGUAUUUGGCAGUGUGCUAGGGGCAUAGGUCUUGGCAGGGCAUGUUCUCUGGGUGGCAGAGGUUCUGGGUUCAAGUCCAGCACUGUGGGGGGAAACCCAGAAAUAGCAAAACCAGGAAUAGUGAUGGAUGGGUACUUGAGGAAAGACACGUCAAGGGUGUGGGUCCUGGGGAGAACUGAGGUUGGUGGAGAGCUUGCUUAGCAUGCGUGGAGCCCUGAGUUCCAGCACUUGAGGAGUAAGUGCGUUUAAGAUUGGGCGUUUAAGGCCAUCCAGGUGACAUAAAGAAUCUGAGGUUAGUCUGGGGUGGGACGGGGAGACACAGAGACAGAGAAUCUAGUUUUGUAUUACUGCUCUGGGAGGAACAGCUGACUAAGCAGCAAUAAACAGGGGUGACCCCUCCACUGAGGCUCACGGGAGGGAGGUGAGGCAGGGUGGGCAGGUUUAACCUGACAUCAUUUGAAUGGUUUCAGCAAACACAGGACAUUAAUUGCCAUUCUGUCCAGACAAGGCCCAAGAGAGAAGUAGCUGAGGGAUUAAUCUGACCUUAACAGGUGACCCUAGAGAGCAGACCUCUAGUCAGAGCCUCCUGUUUGAAUCAAAUGGGUAUUAAAAAGAAAAGCUACCACUGGGCUGUCGUUAGGCCUAAUGACUUGAGUUCUAUUUCUGAGAGGAAAACUAACUCCUAUAAGGCAUUCUCAAACCAGUGUGGUGAAUUCAGGGUGUCUCUGGUGACAUGGCCUCUGCUCACUCCUACACAACGACCGACCUGUGCACUGGUGACACCGAACAGAGCCAGUAAACACUGCCCAUGAAAGUUACUGACUGAUUUACGUACAGAAAAUGUACCUCUAAUACGUUCCUACCCCUAUUCCCCAGCGUGUAUCAAUCCAUCUUUGUAUUGUAUUGAUUGGAUAUGUUGGUUCUUUCUUUGUUUAACAGUGCCUCCUCUGGCAGAGGACCCAGCACUCAUAUCAGGUGGCUUGUAACUGCUUGUAACUGCAGUAAAGGGGAAUCUAACCUCCUCUACCCUCCUCUGGUUGUACCUACAUGAAAAGCACACAUAAACUCACACAGGCUCACAACACACACAUAUACACAAGCUUAAAAAUAUUUCAAAACUGCUGCUCAAGUUGCAUCUUUAAAAAUUCAGAAAAUUAAAAGAUGGGGCUUGGGAACCGGCUCAAUGGUUAAAGUACUUCUUGCACAAGACAAACAACCUAGUUGAGAUCUCUUAAGCCACAUUACAGAAAAAGGGAGAUGUCAAAGGGUAACUAUCUGCUACCCCAGCAUUUACAGGGAAACGAGGGACAGGAAUAUCUCCAGCAGUUCCCAAGUGAGCCUGGCAAAGGCAGUGGAGAAUGAGACCCAAUCUCAAAGUGGAAGGUGAGGACUAUCAACUGGUUAUCCACUGACUUCCACAUUGUGUACUGAGAGUAACACACACACACACACACACACACACACACCAGAGAGACAGAGAGAGACACAGAAUUAGAACAGAAUUUCCAGCAGUUUCUGAAGUGGCUCUAACACAUCUACCAUUUGUAUGACGCAUUAUGCAAAGUGAAUGCCGACAGCUACUUUCAGUCCAUAGCAUCAAAUGUUUAGCUAACAUUUAACUAGAUAAACUAGCACAUGGGCCUUAUUAGUACACAACUUUGCUUUUUGUCUUAAAUGAGUGUUGUGGUGGUUUGAUGAGAUGUUGACAGAUGUCAGAGCUGUGAAAUGCCUGUCCAAAAGAGCUGCACACACCAAGUGGAGUCAGCCCGCCAGAUGCAUGUAUGUUGCAGAGAGCAAGGCUGGAGGGGCAGAGUCGCCUAAGCCCUUUGUCACAGGACAUGGAACGAGAGAACUGAGUCCGCCCUGCUGGGCUUCGGCUUUACUUUCUGGUUCUGUAUUUUCUCUGUGCUGACCCCUUCCUCUCAGAACAGUGAUAUGUGUCCUGUACCGCUGUAUGGUGGAAGUCUGUUACUUGCUUUCCAGUUUUACACAUCGCCUUGAGUCUCAGAAGAGACGUUUGAGGCUGAACCUCACGUACUCUGCAUUCUUAUGUGGUCACAAGACAACGGGGAGGCCAGGGAAUAGAAUGUGGGUGUUGGAAUGAGACGUCCCCGCCAAUCUGGUCCAUUUGAUUGCUUUUUCUGCAGUUGGCGGUGCCGUGCAGGGAGUCAUACGGUAUGUGGUCAUGCUGGAGCACCAGCCUGUCACUGAAGGGAGGCUUUCUGGCUUUCGCUUGCCCCAUUCCUAGUUUUCUGUUUCCUGUCUGCAGUUUAAGAUGUGAGCCCUCGGCUGCCGCUCCAGCCUGCUGCCAAGCUUCCCCCCAUGACAGGCUCUGACCCCUCUGGAACCAUAAGCGCCUCGGGCAUCAUGUUUUGUUUUGUUGUUUUUUUCGAGNCAGGGUUUCUCUGUGUGGCCCUGGCUGUCCUGGAACUCACUCUGUAAUUGUGUUUUAUCCCAGCAAUAUAAAGGUAACAAUACAAAUGAUAAAAUUAUGUUUAUACCAGACAAUGUUUUAAAAUACAAUGAUUUACUAUCAAUAAAUGUCUGAUGUGUGUACCUAUUUUCU